rnacentral:misc_RNA from 1 species
GUGAAUCAUCAAAUUUUUGAACGCAGAUUGCACUUUCUGGUAUUCCGGAAAGUAUGCCUGUUUGAGGGUCAGUUAAACAAAACUCGGUGCUGUUGCUGCUCUUCGUGGUUACGCGUCGGAAUUGAGUUGUCUUACCUUCGGUUAAGUGACUUAAAAUUUUGCAUGAUUUUCGACCGUAUUUAAAUUUCUUACGCACGUUUGAGAUAUCGAAUAUUUUAUUAGGUUCGGUCUUCUUCUUGUUUCGUCCCUACAAUUUU